GAUCCUUCCUUGUAGUUGUAUAUUGAAAAAAAUAUGACGAGAAAUCUCAAGUUCAUGGCUCUUAUUUUCAUUUUAUUUACUUCCUUGGUAGUUGUACAUGAAUGCCGUAGUAUGGUUGAAACGGGCAUAAAGCUUGGACCAUGUAUCCUGCACCCUGAAUGCACCCCCAAUGUUGCCUGUUGGUGCUGCUUGGGCGACCCCAAAAAGCAAUGUUGGUAUCAAAAAGACGAUUGUCUCCGGCUUUGCUGAUCUUUCCCACCUUCCACCUCCAUAAUCUAUCUCAUAAACAUGUUUUCUUAUUUAUAUCAUCAAUAAAUACAGGGUGUCUUUUUACUUGAAUAUCAUUAUGUUGGCUAACCAGAUUUUAUGACAUAAAUUCUAGUUAUUGUAUUGAUAAAAAUUGAUACCUUUGAACAUGAAUGCCAAGAUUAAUAUAAUA